GCCAAAUGCCUCGUCAUCUAAUUAGUGACGCGCAUGAAUGGAUUAACGAGAUUCCCGCUGUCCCUAUCUACUAUCUAGCGAAACCACAGCCAAGGGAACGGGCUUGGCAGAAUUAGCGGGGAAAGAAGACUCUUGAUUUUUCUUGAGUGGUAAACACAGAGUGAUGCUUGGGUUGGGUGUUGGCUGUUCUCCCUUUGGAUUUAUUAUCAGCAAUUGCUCUCCCCAUAAAAUCUUCAGCCAUAUCGUCAUGGUAGUAGAGAAAAUCUAUCAUAUUUAUAAAUGAAACAGUCUUACCUUGGUGCACUGAACGACCAUGUUUGUUAUGAAAGUCAAUUUGUAAAAAGUGAGGUAGGCGUAACAUGAUUUUCGCUGUAUAAUCCCGAGAGUUCAGUAGGUGAUGGUAGUUGAGUGAUUUUAGCACAACUAGGCAGUUUUCCAUACGGCUUGCAAAUUC
rnacentral:ncRNA from 1 species